rnacentral:rRNA from 1 species
UUUGCGGAGAGUUUGAUCCUGGCUCAGGAUGAACGCUGGCGGCGUGCCUAAUACAUGCAAGUCGAACGAGGUGCUUUGUAGCAAUACGGAGUAUCCUAGUGGCGAACGGGUGAGUAACGCGUUGGUGACCUACCCCAAAGUGUGGGAUAACAGUCCGAAAGGAUUGCUAAUACCGCAUGUGGUCAUUAGAUUUAGAAACUGAUGACUAAAGGAGCAAUUCGCUUUGGGAGGGACCUGCGUCCCAUCAGCUAGUUGGUGAGGUAACGGCUCACCAAGGCGACGACGGGUAGGGGACCUGAGAGGGUGGCCCCCCACAAUGGAACUGAAACACGGUCCAUACACCUACGGGUGGCAGCAGUA